GAAACCCUUAAAGACCCCAAAAAAACCGAUUAAAAAAAAACCGUACACCACCCCGGUCCUCCCCUCACUCUGUCUCUCUCUCUCUCCCCUGCUCUUUCUUCCUUCUUCUCUCUCAUAGCCACUCCACGCCUCACCGCCUUCCUCUCACCUACUGCCGCCAUCGCGACGGUCACCUCUUCAUUCACGGCGCCACUGCCGCCGGCCCAUUUCCUUCAUUCAACCACCACCGCACUACUUUCCGGCAAAGCCUCUUCACGGAUAGUCAUCAUGUCGCCACAGCGGUGCCGGUCCCUCGCCCAGUGCCCACCCACUGCCACCUCCAUCUUCGCCACCGUGGCAGCCUCCAGCCACGUCACCACUGCCUUGUUCUUCAUCAUAGGAAGAAAUAUUUGGGCAAGUCUUGACAGAAUUGGAUUUUGGACUUCUUUCGGGCCAAAUCUUUGAAGUCUCUCCAAUGGAUAGGAGAGAGCAAUCAGCAGAGAAUUUGGAGUGGCUCGGAAGAGUCUAGACCAAGAUUCUCAACGGUUGACGGAGAAGACCAUGAAGUGAGUAUAUGAAAAAGGGCAUAGUUGAGAUGUCAGGAGAAAGAGAAGGAUAUUCGGGAGAAUAGGUGAGAGAGAAAAGAGGUAUCGGUUUUUCUCUCCUUCAGACAAGUGUCCGUCAAGCUUAAGGGCUUAAGAGGGGCUUAAGAGGGGAGAAGCACGGUUAGCUCCUUCUAUAUUAUAUUUUUUCUUUCAUAUAUUCUCAUGGAUCAAGGUACGUUUUCUCUUAAUUUUCUGUUGUGAAAAUCAUAUUGUUCUGUGAUCUUUGGUAUUAAGAUUUAUGUCAAAGCUGAGAGUUUUUAUUUUUUUGCAUGAUGAGAAUUUAAUAAAUUAUUAACAUUCGGUAUGAGAGCCCUGGUUUAAGAACUUAUGAUUUUUUUUAAAGAUUAUUAUUAUUAUUAUUAUGAUUUUUUUAAUAUAAAUAAAAAUUUCUUUCUGUUUUAUUUUUUUAUUAAAUAAAAUAAAUUUUAAACUAAAUAUUUCAAAUGAACUCUUAAACCACAUUCACUCUUUGUAAGUCAUUAAUUGGGUAUAUUUCUUUUUUAAAUAAUGUUAAUAUGGACAUGUGGUUAGUUAGUAUGCUUAGUUUGAUGUGUUUAGCAUAUUAAAAAAUACCAAAUAUGUCUGGUUGGUAUCACCUAAAGGAGAGCUUCAAUAUGCAUAUUAAUGUUUAAUGAAUUUUGUUUGAAUUUGAAUUAUGUGUUUAAGUUUAUAACUCAAAGCAUCAAUGCGUGAGCAUUCUACAUUUAUUGCAGUAUCGGUAUUUGUUUCUCUUCAUUCGCAAGCUUUGUCUAUUGUAAUGUUUAAUAAACUUAAUUUUCUUGAUUGGUGUGAACAAGUCCAGUUUCACUUGGUGUUUUGGAUCUUGAUUGGACACUCCAAAUUGAGAGUCCAGUUGUUAUUAUUGAUUUUAGUAGCGAUAACAGAGGUCUUUCCAUAAAGCUUGGGAAAUAUCAAACAAACUAAGCCUAGUGUUCAUGCAAAUGAUUGUAGUAAACAACAUAAGUCCACAAUUCCUAGAACUGAAAGUGCUAAGGAAUAUAUGAAGUUUGUGGAAGAACACUCUCAGUUUGGUGCUGCUAGUAAGUCACUUACUAGGACAUUAAUGAGUACUUUGACCAUCAUUAAGUUUGAUGGUUCAUGCACCAUGCUUCGGCAUAUCAUUGAGAUGAUAAACAUUAACAAAAAAAACUAAGGUCCAUGUGAUUGGAAGUAAGAAUUCCCUUGUGCAGUUCUUCAUUAACUCCUUGCCUGUUGAAUAUGGUCCCUUCCAAAUAAUUACAACACUAUUAGGGAUAAGUGAAAUGCGAAUGAGUUGCAAAGUAUGCUUAUUCAGGAGGAACCAAUACUUAAGAAGCAAGAAAUUCACUCAAUUGGUCUCAUGGGUCAGCAAGGAGUUGAAAAUAAACUUGAAAAGAAGAAUGGAAAGGGCAAAGAAGGAGCGUCAAAGAUAAAAGUGCAAUUUGUUGAUAUCUUAGAUCUAAGUAUUAGAAGCAAUACCAUUUUUUUUUUUUAAAUUGAUUUUUUAGGGUUAAAGAUCUAAACAUCAAAACCUUAAAUUCCAAGUGUUGAAGAUGACGUUGAAGUUGUUGGAAAUCUCGUAAACCCAAUGAUCUUCCACAUGAUGACUCAACCUUGUUCUUGGCACACUUUCAAUAGGGAGGAAAGGAGGGUGAAGGUUAUGACUCUCUAUCUCUCUCCAUGGUGGAAGACAAAAAUUAUAAAAACCCUUAACCCUUAGGGGGUAUUUAUAAGGUUCCUAAUUGGACUUAAGUGAUUUGAGUUCACAUGGGCCUAAGUCACUUAAUCUAGUUCAAAUUGGGUCCUAAUUGAUUAAUUAAUCCAAUAGGGUAUACUAAUUAAUUAAUUAAUUGUCCUAAUCCAAAGAUCUUGUUCAUUUACCUUUGUGCAAUCUUGCGUAAUUACCAAAACGCCCUUAUGUACAAAAUUGAACCUAGAGCCAAUUCGUCACUCAUAACCCGUGCCAACAAAGUAUAUGUGCUAGAGCGGGACCACUAGGACCUAUAGGAGUACUGACUCCCGAUGUUCAUGGAUCAAGGUAUGUAUUCUCUCGAUGUUCUAUUGUGAAAAUCAUAUUGUUCUAAGAUCUUCGAGUAUUAUGAUUUAUGCAAAAGCUAGAGUUUUUAUUAUUUUGCAUUAUAAGAAUUUAAUAAAUUGCUAACAUUAUAAAGCUUAAAAGCUCAAAAGGGUAAUAGUUCAAUACUCGUGUAAAACAAUGGACUAAAAUAUGACAUUUCCUUUGUCAAUUUUAUGUAUCAGAAGGGGUGAAAUUGGGUGGAUGCAAUUUUUUAAGAAUAAAUCAACAAAAAAUCGUUGAUCUAUCAAAACAAGUAACACAUAAUGCGUCACGUCUCAUUUUCAUGAUUUUAUUUAUUUAUUUAUUUAUUAAUCGAGGAACCUUUCAUAGCAAAACCCUUAGGACUCUCCAUAGGGACCCAAACUUCGGAGUGCUGAUUGCCCCACAACAACCCAUACCGGGUAAAUUCAAGGUAUCAUCAAUGACAAGAUUCGAACUAGAAUUCGUGAUAUAUCAAGCGUUAAGUAAAAAAAGUUAAAUUAUACCGUCCCUAAAGUGACAUAUCUCUAGAAAGAGAUAUCAAGCAAUAAAUUAAAAUGUGAAAUCAUACCAUUUUCAAUAAAUAGGUAUGUAAAUGAUUCAUUUUCUCUUACGAAUUAUUUAUAAUAAAAUAUUGAUUACACUUGAAAAUGCCUUAUUCAUUUUUUAUAAAGUACAAAAUCAAAACCUUUAAAAAUAAUUUAAAUUAUUAAUACUUAUGUAUCAAUGAUAAUAUUGAGAUGAUCAAAUAUAAAGAUAAAAAUAAUAUCUAAGUGGUUAAAAGUACACAAAAUUGUAAUUAUUUUUAGAUAUAUAUAGAUAUAUAUAUAAUUAAAUUUUAUAAGCUUUUAUAUAUUUUUUUUCCAUGAGUGCAUAUGAAAACACAUUUUUCCCUUUUUGUUUGUUUGUUUGUGUUUUUGUUUUGUUUUUUGUUUUUGUUUUGUUGUUUUGCUUUUUCUUGUGAUCUAGGUGUAAUUAUAGGUAGCAAUCCAUCUGGUAAUUCUUUUCAUUACCUCUUAACCUCUUAAGGGCGUUGGAUGUUGUUGGAUUUCUUUCCAAUGAAGUAAUCUAUCUAAUGGCCUAUAUUUUUUCUCAUUUUGUUUAGGUUUCAUGUGUUUUUGCCUCAUCCAUAUUUUUAUCCAAAUUUCUGUCUUAUAUGUACAUAAAAACCGGUUGCACUACCAUACUUGUUUUUGGCACGUGGUGCUGGCAACGAGACUUAACCCUUAAGUCACAGAUGAGCCUCCUCCCAAAAUGCGGCUUUUAUAAUGGGCCACGCUGCCCAAUGGAAGGCUGCUUCCGUCUUUCAAAUAUGAAAGAAGAAAAAGGAAAGUUCAGUGACUCUUAAGGCUCUCUGGUUUCCCAAGCCAAACUUUACAAAGUAUCCUCUUUAAAUGCUAGGCAGAGACGUAUGUGUAGGGCUGGUAUUUUUUACAGAGGAUUCAGAAUCCUGUAUUAAGAUUCAAUCCACCGGACAUGGUCCUAAAAGAUGUAGGCUCUUAAUUUGUCGCAGGGCAUAACAUACUAAAAUGAAUAGAUCCAAUUUUUUUAUAAAUCCAACGAAGUUCAAGGCUUCUUUUUAAUACAAUUGAUCGCGAAGAUAGAUUACUUUCUUUCUUGUCAACCAAACAAAUGAUACAACCAUUCCCGGAAGGAAAUUAAAAGGAAAACAAACUUCAAAGGGAAAAGAAAAACAGAGAGAUAAAGCAAGAAGCUAGACUUGAAGGUGAAAAACAAAAAACAAAAACAACACCAGUCAUGGAAUUAGUCGGCAUGUAUGUGAAUACCGACAGCAAUGAGCAAGAUGGUGAGAAUACAGAAGUAGAUGAUAGCGUGAACCAGAAUGGCAAUCCCACUGGUACACAUGUUCCCAAACUCCACCACCCUUGUCCUUGCCGGUAGCUGGAACAGCAGCCCUGGUGACAACAGAAUGAAUAGAACCACAGAAACAACCACUGGUCCCCAAUCAGCGCCCAUCUCUCUCUCUUAAGCAAUUGGGUAUAAUUCAAGCGGAGGAUGAGAACCCGAUAUCUGAUAUCUGAUUUUGCGUUUAGGUGGGAAAAGGAGAACCUCCCUCCCAAAUUUGUAGGGGAAUGGGUGGGACUAAUUUUCUUGGUGAAGAAGGAGAUGAACGAUGCCAAACUUCGGGACAAAGAAGACAGUAGAUUUGAAGGAGAGGAAAGGUAUGUUACGUAGUGGAUUUGCUUUAUGGAUAUGAAAAGCAGCACCUUUUUUUUACAUUAGCUUAAUAAUUGUUCACUUGAAGGGUUCUUUUUCCUUUGCUUUGGAGAUUGACGAAGGUGGGCAGGUCCCUUAAAAUAAUUUACAAAAUGGAGAAAUGGAAAAAGCAAGUUCAUGUGUGUAAAGGUGUUGCUCAUGCCAGGUGGUUUUGGAAUGCUUUCUUGUAUGGCUUGCCUCUUCCAUGAUAAGCUUAUUAAAGGUGUGCAUUAAUGGAUGUGGACUCCUGUGACUAAUGCGUUGAGGUACCAUGGCUUAAAGAACUUAGCAUUGAUCUUCAUAACAAGUAAAUUUUGCUCAAAAAAUAAACCAUGCAAAGAACCUCUACAUUCCAAAUGGACAAAAUUUGAACUACGUGAACUUAAAGCCUAAGACAGGUAGCCGUUUACAAUCUUCCACGUAAAUGUUGAUAGGUAACGAAAAUGGCGGGUUGACGAUAGUAAUUUCAAGAGGGAUUGGCUCGAAGUGUAGAUCUGGCCCACAAAAAGACCUUGCAAAGCCCAGGCCCAGUCCUGACUGGAUUGGUCUACCCAAAAUCCAACCAGGAUUCUGGACCCGGUUUGGAAGGUGCCUUGAGCCGUCCAAAAAGGGAUGAUGCCACGUUUGCCGCCCGGCAUGGGUAGCUGUCGAAGAGGCGUCGAAUCCAAUGCCACGCCCUCCUCGCCGGUUCUCUGACUUUUCUUCAGCCUCCCGGCUUCUCUUUGUCUCAUUCUCUCUCAAUUAUGUAUCUUCCCGUUUCUUUAACUCUGUUUCUCGGUGGUUUUGUUUGUUUCUCCAGUUCUCUCUACCGCAUGACCGCAACGACUAUAAAUCCGAGCGUUAUCAUCCUAUCUAUCUUUUACAGUUUAGUAUAGUUAUAUACUCUGGAUUUUGGUAGAUAGAGGGAGAGAUGGCGGACUGGGGACCGGUGGUGAUAGCGGUGGUACUGUUCGUGCUGUUGACGCCAGGGCUGUUGUUCCAGUUGCCUGGAAACAACCGUGUGGUAGAGUUCGGCAACAUGCAGACUAGCCGCAUCUCUAUCUUAGUCCACACCAUUAUCUACUUCGGCCUUAUCACCAUUUUCCUCAUCGCCAUUGGUGUUCACAUCUAUACCGGCUGAUAAUAGCCACCCAUGCCCACGCCACUCCUACUGGUUUCCUUGCCCUUUCUCUGGUUAGCCUUUGGUGGAAAACCCUUUUUGAAGGCAAGGUGCUCCACUCAUUUUGAUUCAUCCACAAUUCACUUCCUGGGAUUGGAAACCGGCCUAUAAAGAAUCGUCGUUACCAUACAAUCGUUAUUCCUUCUAAAUUUCUUAUUUGAUUUCAACUAUUGCCUCCUUAUUUUUGUACUUGCAAUUUAUUAUUAACCUGUGAAGCUUCCUGCUACUUGCUCCA